rnacentral:lncRNA from 1 species
UCUAAUGGUUCAGGCCAAAAUGGUCAUAUUUAGGAGAUACCUCAAAUUAUAACCAUUGUUACCUGUGUGCAAUUUUACUUAACAGUACUGUGUAUAUAGUGGACAAGUAAGUUCUUACAUGAAAUAUCUAGUCUUUCUAGAUAUUUAGAAGUGCUUGAUGCAUUUUACAGUAGACAUAGUGUUAUAAUGCUUCUUGUAAAUAGCUUUUUAAAACUGAUGGGAAAUACUGUAAUUGGAAAUGGAAUUGUUAAACCUCCUCUCUGAACAGUAUACUCUGCUUUUUCAUUGGGUUGAGGGAGGC